GUAUCAAUAUUCAAAAUAUGGAGAGAUUCAGAACAAUCUUCCCUGGACAUAAAAUAAUUCUUCAUGCAUUAAAAUAAGCAGGAGAGAGUGAGGAAGGAAAAAUAAAAUUUGGUAUUAAAUAUAAUGAGGUAAGGAGCCUGGAAAUCAUACAGUCUUCCUGUAUCAGUGUUUCUUUCAUCAUUUUGCACUUCCAGGGCAGGACAGUGGAAUGGUGUAUGGUUGGUAUAUGAUCAGUCUUUAGCAACAGAGAAGCAUCCUUCCUGGAAUGAAUGCUAAGUGCAGAUUUGGAGGGGUACUCCUGUGGUGGAGCUUGUAAACGAUCCAGUUCCACUUUUAAGGAAAUAUCAGAAGUGGAUGGUGUCUCUGAGUUUUUAUUUUCCAUUUCAGAACAUUAUGAAUGACAGGAAACAGCAAUGCUUGCCUUUUGUCUUGAAAUAUUUCAUGUCUCUAUGGAAGAUGUGUUCAAAAGACUUACUUUAUGUUGACAUGAGCAGCCAUAUAGGCGUAACAGUAGCAAAUUGCAUUUUUCUCUUAGCUGGCUUGGAAAACAAUCCAAGCUUGAAGUUAACUUCUGAACAGUUGUAAUGUCAAGAACAAGAAGUUGAAACUGGCACAUAGGAGCCCAUUUGUGAAAGAUCUGCUUUCUGGUGGCUUGACCUCAUCUGUGGCAUACUGGUGGUCUGAGCUUGAAAUCAAAGAUGGAAUAGUCCUGGUGAAGGUCUGUUCCCUGCAUGUUUGCUUAUUCUGUACAAGUUUCUGUCAUCAACUCCUCAGCCUGGGAAAUGGCACCCAGGAAAGUAGGGUGUUACUUUUUAAAUAUUAGCUACAAGUUUGAUCGGGGGGUUUAUACUUGUCCAUAGAACUUGCCACAGAUGAAAUUCGCCUGAUGCUGUGAUGUCUUUUGGAUACAAGAUAAUAUGCUAUUUCAUACUUUAUGUUUAAAACAGCACUUUUCCUUUGUUUUGUACUGAAAUUUAGGAUAGAAAAAGAACCAGAAGUGGGCUCUGAAUUGUUUCAUCACCUUUUUUCUCAUGUAAAACUCCUAGUUGCUUUGUGACGAUUUGCUUAAGCAUGGACUUUGAUGUUUUGGCUUCUAUAUGAACUAAUUAAAUAAUCCUAUUUUCAGGAAGUUUGACCAGUAGGCACACAUGCGUAUACUGGAAUGUAAUGAUAUUAAACUAAUCAUUACUGGUCCAGACAGUCCUGUGAGUUUGGAUGGGACAAUAUGAUGUGAAAACAAUGUGGGUUUGAAUCACAAGGACCACAGUCCAUUUCAGGCUUUUUUUUUUUACCAUCACCUCACCAUUUCUUUUUCAGUCUUUGUCUCAUUUCCUAAUAUAUAUUUGCAAGGAUAAAUAGCUAGAUCAAGUUAUUUUGGUGGUGCUGUUUCUUCCCAGUGGCAUUAAGCCGUGACAUUCAAUCCCCAGCAGCACAGCCAAGCAGCAUUUGAGCAUCUCCAUGUGCAUUAGUUAUGUCAGACAUCAAAGCAGGAAGCUCACAGUGAGGUCCGACCUCACCCAUAUUAUUAAAUUUAAAGAUGAUGUCAAUACUGUUGUGAGUUAUACAUCAAAUAUAAACUGAUUACAGAACAUUUCUGAAUGUUAAACUACCUCAGAUUGCCUCAAUCGGUGCAAUUAGAUGAUGAAUGUAAUUUACAUGUUGAGCAGUGGAAAAAUUCUUACUUGUACUAGCAAGGAUAUAUUAAACAAUGUCUCCAGCCAAUUUCCUUCCCUUAACAUCCUUUGCUUCUUAAGUUAUUGUUUAAUACACUUCCUAAUCCUAAAUUAGUGCAGGUAGUGCUGGUUUAGUACAGUUUGGCACUGAUGUAGCGAUUGCACGUGUUUUCUUCUGACAGAUGUACAUGAUAAGAAGCUUUUAAUUUCUGGACUGAACAAUUACAGACUCGUUUUGCUGUUGAACUGAAUAUGCAAAUAAGUAUGAGGAAAACAGGCAAUGCUCCCAGAAGAGCCUCUGGUUUUCAAGCCUAGUCCAAUUAGUAAAGAAGGAAGCUUUCUUACACAGCUUUUACCAUGGUCUGUUUUACUGAUCAGAUAGAGAUUAUAAAUAUAGAUGGGACUGAACACUCUUCAGAUUGAAAAGUAACUAGGUAUAGAGUCAAUCCAUUAGAUCAAUAACUGAUUAGUGUAAUACAGGCUUAUAAAUACCAUCACAUUAAGUCAUCACAUGUAACAUGCUGAAAACAUACAGAGGUCUGCAGUGCUUUGAAGGUGCUCUAGAAAAUCCAAGGUAAACACAGAAAACCUUAUUUUUUGUAAUUUUUAAAAAAAGAGUUUAUCUUACCUAUGUAAUGUUUUUCCUUUUUGUACCUAUUUGUGGUAAGCAGCUGGAAUAUGCCUUCUGGAAACUGGCUGAAAGAUGCGGCAGCAAUGGCUGCAGAACUGCCAUCAACAUGUAUUUUACGUGAAUACAGAAACUCUCCACUGAAAGCACAGCAAAAAUGGACAAAGGAGACAAGAAUCUCAAACAAUCUCAGCCUGGACCUUUAUAGUCCAGUUCCUGUGUUUAAAAGCAGAAAUGUCCUAUUACUUUGUUGGAAACAUGAGGUUUAACACAAGGCCACUGAGGAAUGAAAGCCUGAUGCUCUCCUUCUAAGGGCUAUUUUUAUAUGGGGUAAUUAAAAAUUUCAGUGGGGUUCCACCUGAAAUAUGCCAGGAGAAUAUGACAUAGGAGGACAUGGCUUACAAGGGCAGACCAUAUAGAUUACUGUUUGCUAAAUGAUGGUGUCACCUAAGCUUGAGAACUCCAGGAAAUCCAGUGUGUCAGUGACUCUCCUCCUUUCUGAUCAGCUCUGGUGUGACACUGUGUGUGCACCUUGGCUUAUAUAAAGUUGUAGAUCUUCAGGAUUGAAGGCCUCUGGAAGAACCGUGUUUGGUAAGCUGCUUGUCAAGUGACUACUAAUUUAUCAGAGCAUACUUUUUUAAUUUUAUUUGGCUGAAAUUAAGAGCACUGAAAAUUAUUGCUGCAAACAGGACUAUAAAAGCCAAAGAAAAGCCAAGGGAAAAUACACAAGACUGGGUUUCUGAAAGAGAAAAGGGCAGAGGGCUGAGCCAAGCAACUGCCACCAUAAUCUGUCUCUAUUGAGUGGCUCCAGUUUUGACCAGCAAAAAAUGAGAGCAGCCAGAGGUACCUGGAGAUCCUGUGGCAAAAUACAAGUUUUCAGGUGUUGCCAUCUGUGUGUCUUUUCUGAGGGGGCAGGGAGAAGCUUCCCCAGCUGACCCUGCGCCUCCUCUUGAUACUCAGUAAUAGCACCCAUGCAAACCCUUUAGUCUGAGGAGGCAAAGCUCCAAUGAGCAAGCUCAAUGCGUUGACCAAGAGCCUCCAGCAUCUCUGUGUUCUCCUCCGCUCUCUCAUCCUGUGCACUGCCCUUCCAUCCUCCAUACUUAGAAUCAUCUUGAAAACUGUUUUCUACCACCAAGGACUUUGGAAUAAAGAGGAGGAAAGGCUAUUCACACCAGCAGAAGGAUGCUACUUCACUCUGUUAAUGGCUGCACGUUUA